GAUGAACGCUGGCGGCGUGCCUAAUACAUGCAAGUCGAGCGAACGGACGAGAAGCUUGCUUUUCUGAUGUUAGCGGCGGACGGGUGAGUAACACGUGGAUAACCUACCUAUAAGACUGGGAUAACUUCGGGAAACCGGAGCUAAUACCGGAUAAUAUUUUGAACCGCAUGGUUCAAAAGUGAAAGACGGUCUUGCUGUCACUUAUAGAUGGAUCCGCGCUGCAUUAGCUAGUUGGUAAGGUAACGGCUUACCAAGGCAACGAUGCAUAGCCGACCUGAGAGGGUGAUCGGCCACACUGGAACUGAAACACGGUCCAGACUCCUACGGGAGGCAGCAGUAGGGAAUCUUCCGCAAUGGGCGAAAGCCUGACGGAGCAACGCCGCGUGAGUGAUGAAGGUCUUCGGAUCGUAAAACUCUGUUAUUAGGGAAGAACAUAUGUGUAAGUAACUGUGCACAUCUUGACGGUACCUAGUCAGAAAGCCACGGCUAACUACGUG
rnacentral:rRNA from 1 species